rnacentral:lncRNA from 1 species
GGAAUCUAGUAAUUCAUCCAAGGUGUUGGAGUUCAUGAAAACGAGGCCGUUGGCGAACAUCCCAGCCGAAUGGCUCCUUGUAGAUCCCAUGGUUGUUGCUUUUUGCAGCAAUGCUGUGGCUGACAGGUGCGAUUUGCUUGUUUCCUUGUUGUAAUACAUCGAAUUCGUCAGGCUCUUGAUAUUGCUGCUUUCUAAUUCUUCUGCCUUGAGUGGUCUUGCUUUAGUGUUUGAGGAUUGAAUGAUUUCUGACAAGGCGGUAGAACCAUUUAACUGAUCAAAAGUGGCGAGAUCAUCCUGUCCCAACAUUGCGGGGAAUAAUGGGGUCAUGUCUCCGGGGGUUUGAGG